UAGGCGUCAUCGUGGUCCUUUCAACAGCAAGCCCACCUUUGAAAGUAACAAUCUAGUGCUGAUUUAAGGAUGAAGCAAAUCCCACGCAAGUAACAGGUUAGUCUAUUUUGAUGCAUACUCUUAAUGUUCAAGCUAUGACACUACAUACAUGUGUCCACGUGCAUAUGUGGUGGUAGUGUGAUUGCAUCUUCGUGGAGAUUGUAAGCCACCUUAGGACUUAGGUGCAUGGUUCUGCAUUCGUUUUCUUCUUGUCUUGCAUAUGUAGUUAUGUUCUUCUAUAAUAGAUUUACCUCAUGCUUGGCCCUUUUAGUUGGUGUUGUUAAAGAAACUUCCCUUUCUACAAUUACGAGCUCGAAUCAAGAUCUCGAUGAAUGGAAUCUAAAAAAGAAAACUCAAUCAACAAAGAGAGGCGUGCUUAGAUUGUAGGUACACCCUUAUGGGAGCAAGAUUCUACUCCUUCGCUGUUUUAGUUCAAAUUUGAAAAUAAGUUUGAACAAAUUUGAAAAUAAGUUUGAACAAAAACAACAUGAGGUAUUAGCAUUCUUGCAAUGCUGGACAUGAUUUGUUGAGUAGCAUUCCCUCUCAAAUAACGCACGGUAGAAGUGGCAAGCUAUCCCAAAACCUAUCAAAAAUAAUAAUCAAAUGGGUAGUUGUUUGUUUCGAGGCCCCAAUAACGUCCAACACAUGUGCUAGCAAAAUUGUUUGGAACUUCUGUACUUGGACCUAGGCCAAAUGUUCACUGCUACACUGAUCUUAUGUGUAGUACAACCAAAUGUUGGAAGUAAACAAAAUUUUGGUUUGGUUCAGAGCAAUCACUGACCAAGCAGCUUCUGCGCACAUAAUCUGACCAGUAUAUUUUCAGGAUCAACGACGUUACAUUUUAUUAAGGUAUAAGCAUAUUGUUUAGGAACAGAAGUUCAUGUAGAACCAGCGCAAAUCGUAUCUGCUCUGAAUCUUCCACUAAGUAACAAAGAUAACCGAAUGAACUGUACGCAAGAACACAACUCUAUUAUUUUUCAGUGUUCUACAAUUAAAAGUAAUAAAAUGCACCCCCUACCAUCAGUAACAUUUACCAGAGCACAACUUUGACCACAAUAGGACUAAAGGCUCAACUUAUAUAGCAGCUGCUGGCUUCUUCUUCGAUGGUGGAUUCCCCCUGGCAAGCAACACAUACGAGUAGAAGCAGAUCAUCAAGGCAUUGGCGACAAGGGAAGUUGUAAGGAGGAAAGAAGUGUGCAAUGAGCAGCUGAAACACGAUAAAGAGACAAUCGAGAACUACCUGAGAGCAGUAUAGAAGCCCCAGGGAAGCAGCUUCUUUGUUUGUUAAAACAGAGUCAAUUGAUCAGAAUAAGAUUCGGAUUCACUAAUUUUUUACAGCAAAGUGGCAGUGUCACUUACCGUGGUAUACGCCUGGCAGUGCUUCCAUGCUACAACAGUAGCAACAGCUGCAAAUAACGAACAGAGGAGGUUAAUUACCGCCGGGAGUUUCCCCACAAUGUGGCACUUCGGUUUGGUAUAGUAGUAGAUUACCAGAGUCAAGGGUCAAAUAUUUAUACAAAUACCAAUAUGGACUGUUUAGACAUGCAUGUCAUUGUUAAUCCGAGGUGACUGGGAUGUAAGUAAGGGAAUCAAAAUACCUGCUUGUGCCAGUAUAAAUGGCAAGCUAGACUUUCCACUCCUCCAACCCUUAAUACUAAGCACGGCAAGUCCCAAUAUAGCAAGACCAGGUCGACCUCCGAAGGACGCAUCGGCAGGGACGCAUCGUCGACCUCCUGCUUCUUCUUGCAUCACAUACAAGAUGCCGAGAACCUUGGCGUGUUUCAGACUUUCAGCAAAUUGUUCUAAAGUGACAUCUCUGCUACUCUAAUGGUGUUCUUUAUGAUAUAUAUGCAGGUUCUUUGGGCUAUACAAAUACAUCAUGUUGAAAGUUCUACAACUUGCAAAUGAUGAUGUUCCCGCAAGGGAAUAUAUCCAACCUCAUCUGGAUGGUCUGACUCAAGUUUUGCAAGAAGAAAACAAAAGGUAACAAACCUCCAAGUGUUCAUGUUUCCUUUUCCUUCCUUGAAAUGUUUCUGUCUUUUGGAUUAAUAUAUUGUAGGCUGAUAAGAGGAAUCACUAUAUUAUGGAUUCUCAAUGAUUGGGUAGUUGAAUGAAGCAAAUUCAGUUGAAUAAAUGGAGGAGCUGGAGGGUUCUCUGAGACGUUGUGGAGGUGCCGCACUCGCCGGCGAGGAGCUCCAGGUCAGAUAGUAGUGUCCGAUAACGAGCAGAGUCCACUUGCGCAAAGGUCAUCCAAUUGGUUUGUAUAUGCCUUUUUUACAUUCUUGCCUUGGCAACAAGAACUAGGAUUGGUUUGAUUUGGUUCAGUUUGAUUUGAUUUUGUAGCUGUGGUAGUGUUUUAUUCUCGGAUAUGAGAUGGAAGAAAGAGAAAAUAUGAACAAGUAAAGGUUCUAAGUUUGACUUAUUUAGAGGUAAUUGUAGAGCUACAACAUGUAAAGGCCCACACUAGACACUACAAACCCCUUCGAAUCUCAUAUCUUAAAAAUGGGACCUCAGAAUUUUCCA